rnacentral:lncRNA from 1 species
GGGGACUGUGGAAGAUAGACCUGGACUCCCCUGAUCCCCCUUCCCCCCACCAUGACCACCCCCUUUUCUAGCCGCCCUGCUGGCAUCCCGGGGCUCCGAAGAACUUCUAUGCUUCACCCAGCGCUUGGAAGACUUGGUGUGUUUCUGGGAGGAAGCGGCGAACUCCGGGAUGGGCUUCAACUACAGCUUCUCUUACCAGCUCGAAGGUGAAUCAAGAAAGUCAUGUCGCCUGCACCAGGCGCCCACCGUCCGCGGCUCCAUGCGUUUCUGGUGUUCACUGCCGACCGCGGACACGUCGAGUUUUGUGCCACUGGAGCUGCAGGUGACCGAGGCCUCCGGAUCUCCUCGCUACCACCGCAUCAUCCAUAUCAAUGAAGUAGUGCUCCUGGACGCCCCCGCGGGGCUGCUGGCGCGCCGAGCAGAAGAGGGCAGCCACGUGGUGCUGCGGUGGCUGCCACCUCCCGGGGCUCCUAUGACCACCCACAUCCGCUACGAGGUGGACGUGUCAGCAGGCAACCGGGCUGGGGGGACACAAAGGGUGGAGGUCCUGGAAGGCCGCACUGAGUGUGUCCUGAGCAACCUGCGGGGCGGGACGCGCUACACCUUCGCUGUUCGAGCACGCAUGGCCGAGCCGAGCUUCAGCGGAUUCUGGAGCGCCUGGUCUGAGCCCGCGUCGCUACUG